rnacentral:rRNA from 1 species
CGCCUCUUGCAAAAUUAACAAAUAAGAGGUCCCGCCUGCCCUGUGACUAUAUGUUUAACGGCCGCGGUAUUUUGACCGUGCAAAGGUAGCGCAAUCACUUGUCUUUUAAAUGGAGACCCGUAUGAAUGGCACAACGAGGGCUUAACUGUCUCUUCUUUCAAGUCAAUGAAAUUGAUCUCCCCGUGCAGAAGCGGGGAUACGCACAUAAGACGAGAAGACCCUGUGGAGCUUUAGGCACCAAGGCAGACUAUGUUAAGUACCCCAGACUAAUGACUAAAACAACUUAUAACCUGCCCUAAUGCCUUCGGUUGGGGCGACCGCGGGGAAAUAAAAAACCCCCAUGUGGAAUGGGAACACCUCCUAAAACUAAGAGCCCCCGCUCUAAUAAACAGAACUUCUGACUAAUAAGAUCCGGCAAUACCGAUCAACGGACCAAGUUACCCCAGGGAUAACAGCGCAAUCCCCUUUUAGAGCCCAUAUCGACAAGGGGGUUUACGACCUCGAUGUUGGAUCAGGACAUCCUAAUGGUGCAGCCGCUAUUAAGGGUUCGUUUGUUCAACGAUUAAAGUCCU